AUGGAAGACACCCACAACGCAGGAAACCUUUAUCUCACUGGUGCUGUCGUUGCACAAACUGUGCAAUGGAAAAUUUGCCAGACUGAUUCAUUCUCUGAACAUGAAUUCUGGAAGUCAGUUUCCAACCACAUUCUAGCCAGGCUAGGUGACUCAAGGGUUUAUAGGAAGGAGAGUGGGAGGCAAAUAGCCCCUUAUUUAAGUCCUGUUUGCAUACAGAGGAUGGAGGUGGGCUUUCCACGUAAUAAUUCUAUUUAAAAAGGUACUCAUUGUAGGAGAGACAAAGGGUCUGUCCUCUAGCUGGUAACUACUCAAGUGAUGGACAAGCCUUCUUUCACAAAAGCUUACAAAGGAGGCAUCUGAAACACAGCCUGUGAUACUGGGUCACCUAUUAGUCAUUGCAGCUAAUUGUACAUCUUUCUAUGAAACACUGAAAAGCCUCUUUGUGAAUUAAUACAGUUUUGCUUGAUGCACUCGAUUUGAAAUGACAUUUCUCUGUAUGUGGUGCAUGUCAGCUUUGCUUUGAAAAAUAACAAAGUUAGCAGAAUAUGUUCAAUAUAUUUUCUUGGGGAAUAGGGUUUUUAUCAUACGAUUCAUUAAGGAUUUGCCUUACCCUGACAUUUGUGAUAUAAAGGAAAAUCAGAAAAAAAGUAAUUUUCUUGAUCAAGAUAUGUUUUUACUUAAUGCAAAUAAAUGUAGUCUGUUGCUUGCAAGGAAAAAAAAAAUGUCUUCUGAGAUCUGGUAUAAACUGCUAAAUAGAAUAAUACGUGCCUCUUUUGUUAAACCAGCAUUUCAGCACUGGACUGCUUCUGAGUAUGUUUGUUUCUUUUCAUCCGUGCCAUACACUAAGAAACUUAAACAACUGUUGCCUUCAUGCUAUAUUUGUUAGAGCAGAAUAUGAAUAAAAUUUGUUUGAGAGGAUAAGGUGGAAUUAUCCGUGUUUUGUGAAAUUUGUUCCUUAGCUGUGAGCAGUUAAUAACUCAAAACUGUUCAUUUAACAGUAGAUAUCUGGUUGCAAAUAUGUGUAUUUAAAAUUGCCCCUGCAAGUCAACUGUAACUUUCCCUACUAAGACUGAUCAAUGGUGUGGCCGUGUUUUCAAAAUUAAACUAUACAGAAGUUUGAACAGACAUAAAACCUAAUAUAUAAUUUUUCUCUGAAUGCUAAAUAGUUGCUUACCCUAGCAACAGCCUCUGAGGUGAAGAUAUACAUUGUUGAGAUGAAGCCAAUGAACAUUGGUCCAUGCUAUAGAACCCAUCAUCCAUUACUGGAAUUCUUUUUGAGCAUCUUUUAUGUCACAUAGCCAGGUUGGCUAUGUGACAACUGUAGCCACUAUCCUCCUCAGCCUACUGUUGACAGAAUUAUGAUUGAAUUACAAAAUUGUUAAGAGACUGGCAACAGAGCCACAAAAACCGCUAUGGGAAAAACUUGAAGUUCUUUUGAAAAUGGAAAUCUGUAUUCCAUCAAGUUUAAUUCCCUCUAUCUCCUACAGAGGAAGAGCUAUCAAGUGUAUUGUUCUAGAAGGCAAUAAAGAAGGUCGGUCCUUUUAUCCAACAAAGCCAGAAGCUUAAUAGUUAAGGCAGAAUCAGGUUUUUUAAUCUGCUGUACCAAAGGGACAUUUUUUCAGUAAUAAACAAGUCUGAUGAGAAGAAAAUUGUAGCCAGGACAGUCUUCUCUCACAAUGGGCAAUCCCAACACAAAUACUUCAAAGUGGCAGACAGAUGAUUGGACAUGAUUCUAGCAUGGCCAAAUACAGUUUGUUUGUUUUAAUCUACAUUGAAUUUUUCAUCUCUUUGCCCAUCACUUAUGUUUCUCCCCCACUUCUGCCUCUUUACAUUUAAAAGAUGUCAUUGAACAUCAACUUAACUUUGCUGGUGGUUCUCGGGACUAAAAGGGUAAUGAUACUAAUUUAUACUGUUCUUGCCAGAAUUCUGGCCCAGUGUGGGGCUUUGGGAAACAAAUACCUCCAUUCCUUGGUUUGAAAGAUAGAAAUACUAAUGCAUUCCCUGAACUCGCUUCCAAAUUUAAACAUGAAUUAAAAUGCCAAGCUAUUUCUCUUUGCCAUUGGGAAAAGCACUUGGUAAAUUAUUUGCAUUAUAUUCUAUUUGAAACUGUAGACAAAUAUCCCUUUCUCCAACUCAAGACUCUCCACCAAAUGAAUAAACAGUCCUUACCUUUGAGUGGGAAAUAUGAAAUCUUUUCUACUAAAAUCAGAUUGAUUAUAUUCUUUGCAGUUGAAGAUGGAGAAGCUCUNNNNNNNNNGCAAAAACAAGACCUGGAGCUGACUGUGGCUCAGAUCAUCAACUUCUUAUGACUAGAAGAUCAAACCAAUCAAUCCUAAAGAAAGUCAACCCUGAAUAUUCAUUGCAAGGACUGAUGCUGAAGCAGAAGCUCUAAAACUCUGGCCUCCUGAUGUGAAGAGAUGACUCACUGGAAAAGACUCUGAUGCUGGGAAAGAAAAAUUGAAGGCAAAAGGAGAAGAGGGUGGCAAAGGAUGAGAUGAUUAGAUAGCAUCACCAACUCAAUGGAUAAGAAUUUUAGUAAACUCCGGGAGAUAGUGAAGGACAGGGUAGCCUGGCAUGCUGCAUUCAUGGGGUCACAAAGAGUUGGACACAACUUAGUGAGAGAACAACUAAACUUUGGGUGGAAAUAUGAAAUCCUUUCUACUGAAGUUGACUUAAAUUCUGCCUCUAAGGACCCAUGAGGAUGAGGGAAAACUAUUUUAUAAAAUUUAGAGAAAUGGGCAGUUUGCUAUUUGCACACAAAAUACUGACACUUGGUAUAAAUCUUUUUAAGCUGUUAUUUCUCUGGUAAGAAUGAGAGUGGAUCUGUGACUAAAUCAGAAAGGGGUGUGGCCCUAUUUCUUGGGUAAGGUGCACAGAAGGAUAUAGAUUUAGAAGGGGAUAGAGAAAUACUAAUAGGCACUUCCUUUCACUGGGGGAGGAGAACUCUUCCUUGCCCCACUGAAACUGGACUUCAUAUAACUUGCUUCGGCCAAUGAUGUGUGGGCAGAAGUAGCAUAUGUCACUUCAGGCAGAAGCUUGAAGACUCUUGCUCAUUUUUUCCCUCUACCAUAAUGACCAGCAACUUCUAAGACAGGCUGCUCUGUCAGCCUAGAACUGGAGUGAAGAAGAUGUGAAGUUGAGUUUCAGCCAAGUUACACUGAGAAGGUGACAGGAGUAAGAAGGAAAUCUGUGUUUUGAGAUCUGGGCACCAUAUCACCCAAGCCUAACCUAGCCUGUUCUAACUGAUAUGUCUGCCAUUUGAAGCAUUUAAAUAAAAAGUCCAAGAAGUGGAAUGAUCUGCCUUUCCAGUCUCAUCUGUCAAACUGGCUCCCCAAACUGGCAAUACAAUGACCCUCUGUCCAUUCCCAGAACUGGCUAAAUUCAUACUCAUCCUUGAGAUCUCAGCUGUAAUGUCACUUCCUAGAGGUGCCUUCCCCAACUACCUUAUAUCAAAGAAGAUCCCCUUUACCAAUGUCCUUACCUACUGAACGCCAUAUUUGCUAUGUCAGAACAGUUAGAAUUAUUUGUAAUUGUUUGUUUACAUGGAAGAAACAAACAUUCACAUGUCUCAACUCAGAUGGGCAAUAUAAUGCAACUUUCUUCCACACACACACACCAAAAAUAUGAACUGGCCUUAUUUCUAAGCCUCUGUCCAAUUGGUUAGAGGUGAUCAUGGGAAAAUAAUUUAAUUGGUCAAUAAAAGAUAUCUCAGUCUUUUUCAGUUUAAAAUACUAAAUUAGGAGUAAAUAUUUAGUGAGAUCCAAGGUUUAAAUGCCUUACUGAAGCCACUUGUUGACCCCAAAAUUAUUAUGCCCUACCCAUGUAAAGGCCUUUCUUCUAAUCACUAUGCAAUAAAACUAGCAAAAAAAACCCUGAAUUUUAACUAUGAUAAAACAUCUUAAAUGCAGUUUCAUGAUUUUUAAGACUUGCUGAAAACAGAUAACAUGAUUCUAUACAUAGAAAAUCCUAAAGAUGCUAUAAAAAACUGCUAGAGCUCAUCAAUGAAUUCAGUAAAGUUGCAGGAUACAAA
rnacentral:lncRNA from 1 species